rnacentral:rRNA from 1 species
UACGUAGGGUGCGAGCGUUGUCCGGAAUUAUUGGGCGUAAAGGGCUCGUAGGCGGUUUGUCGCGUCUGCUGUGAAAACUCGGGGCUUAACCCCGGGCCUGCAGUGGGUACGGGCAGACUAGAGUGCGGUAGGGGAGACUGGAAUUCCUGGUGUAGCGGUGAAAUGCGCAGAUAUCAGGAGGAACACCGGUGGCGAAGGCGGGUCUCUGGGCCGUAACUGACGCUGAGGAGCGAAGGCGUGGGGGAGCGAACAGG